GGCUGGCACAGUGCUCCUAACGGCACCUGGAACAUAGUAAAUACUGCAUAGGAACCUCCGCACACUGUUCUUCCUGGCUGCCCCACUGGUUCCUUCUCCUCUCCAGCUGGCUAUGGUGCUGGGGUUGCAGGUGGGUGACACUGUAUUUGGCUGUUCACUAAUUUCCACUCACUGCCCUGCCAACAAAACCUCUUCUGGUGAGAACAUGCGGAGUGUGGCUUUACUUCCAGGAUGCAGGAAGAAACACAUCCACCAGGAACUCAGAAUUGACAUCAUCUCAAGAAAUGAUGGUGCCAGGUGGUGGCUGCCUGUGAUUAUCUUUUCAGACAAUCAUUACUUUGUGCAAGUUGCAGUUGGCAAUGCUGCGCGUUCGCCACAGGUUCCUGCCUUGGGGUCCUUGUCUGUGAGGAGCUGUCCUCACAUACUCCAUUACAAGAUGGCACCAGCAUCCGGCAGAACGCACCUAGUAAAAAGGGCAAUACGCAGGCGCCUGGUAACUUCCCUACUCAAAGGGACACGUACGCUUUGGUACGUCAUCUGGCAUAAUUGGCAGCGACCAGUCAG
ensembl:lncRNA